GAUUACUGAGCAAACAGCAGCACAUGUUUGCGACGGCUCUUCUUGCUAUCUUUUCUCCCCAAUCCUGAAGUCAUGACAAUGGAGAAACAUAAAGCCUUCAUUGAUUUCUUUAACAAUGGCCUACCAUGGAGAAUGAAAUACUCUUUGCACGACACCAAACCAAAAGUAAAAUUGACAGUUAGAUGGCAAACUUUCAUUGGUUUCGUGUCCUGCAAUGUGAUGUGAUAUGACUGACGUUCCCUGUCUCUUGUUGAUGCAGUAUUUUUUUUUGAGUAAAAGGGGUUUCCCCCUGAUUUCCAUUAAUAUAAACAUUAGAGGUUCACAACAUGACCAGCCAAAAGGAAAGGCUAUCUAACAUAACCAGAUCACCAACAUCCCUAAAGCAACCUUGGGAUAGAAGAUCCCGCAGGAGCCCAGCAUGUUCGAAGAGUAAAGACGCAGCUCUGUUUUCCAACCAAGCAUCGCCCAGCAUCAGAGAAGGGCUACCAAAACAGAUCAUUUAUUUAUUUUUUGCGAGGGAACAUAUAACGAGAUCAUAACCAACAGCAUAUCAAACAGGAUCCCCUAAAUGUUCAUUUUCCUUCCUUGAGCCACCUGUGAUCUGAAGAACUCCGGGGGCGCCAUCCUCUGGAUGCAGUGAAUAUCCCAUUUGCUACUCGUUCUAGUUGUUUGCAGUAUGUGUGUGCGUGUCUGAAUCAAUUAUAACCUACACGGCUACAACAAUAAAGACCAGAUGAACUUUCCGUUUUGAUUGGACCUUGCUUAAUUUACCGGAUGAACUUUGCUGAAAUAAUAAUUGGUACUGUAGCAUUUACUAUGCAGAUAAACAAAAUUGGAAGCUUGACGCUCUGCGGCGACUCACUCCAUGUCAAGAUAAACACCAAGAUUAAGAUGAAGAAACAGAAAUAGACGGAACUAGAAAUCAGAAAUUGUGCUAGGCAAUUACUCCAGUAAUCAGUAAUCACCUCCGGUGCCCUUGGUGGCCGCCCCCUGCCGCCGAUCUGGUCGGCCGCGCUCCGGGCAAGGGCUGGGGGAGAAGGGAAGACUUCCUGUUGGUAUCCACUGAUCUCGGGCACCGACGCCUCCGAAGCUCCGACUGCUUGGAGCCUUUGCUUGCUGCGCUUUG
rnacentral:lncRNA from 1 species